AAUUUUUUAAGUAAAAAUAUUAACUUAUUUAUUCUUUAAGGGAUAAGCUUUGAGGUUAGUAACCUAUAAUUUAUUUUAUAGAAAUAUAAUAGUAAGCUUUAAACCAGCUAUCUUUAAGAUUACGUUUUAGUUCAUUAUUUUUUAUUUUGAUUUUAUAAAUAUUUUAGGUUUUUAUUAAGAUUAUUAAUUUUAUUUUAAAAUUUUUGUAAUAAUGAUAGAAUUAGUAUAUUUAUUUGUAUGAAAUUUUUACCUUGUGAACUUAUUAUAAGGAACUAGGCAAAAUUGAUUUCCGCCUGUUUAUCAAAAACAUGUGCUCUUGUUUAUACUUUGAGGUCUGGCCUGCUCACUGAGCGUAUUUUUAAAGAGCCGCGGUAUAUUGACCGUGCAAUGGUAGCAUAAUCAUUAGUCUCUUAAUUAGUGGCUGGAAUGAAUGGCUUGACGAGAAAUCAACUGUCUCUUAAUAAAUUUUUGAAUUUAACUUUUGAGUCUAAAAGGCUUAAAUUCUUCUUUAGGACGAGAAGACCCUAUAGAGCUUGACAUUUUACUUAUAUAUAGUUUUUUGUUUGUCUUUCUAUAUUUAAUGAUGAUGUUUUGUUGGGGUGACAUGAAGAAUAGAUUAACUCUUCAUUAUUAUAUCAUUUAUUUAUGUUUGUUAUUUUGAUCCAUAAUUUAUGAUCAUAAGAUUAAGUUACCUUAGGGAUACAGUGUAAUUGUUUUUGAGAGCUCAUAUCGACAAAGCAGAUUGCGACCUCGAUGUUGGAUUAAGAAAAAUUUUGGGUGCAGGAGCCCAAUGAUUAGGUCUGUUCGACAUUUAAAUUCUUACUUGAUCUGAGUUCAGACCGGCGUGAGCCAGGUCGGUUUCUAUCCUAAGAUUAUUAAUCCAUAUUAGUACGAAAGGACCAUAUGGUUAAAAUAUUUUUUGUUAUAUUGAUUAAUAUUAAUUUAUUUA